UACUUCAAAUAUAACAUUUUGAUAUUUACUGAAAAAUUAAAACUAAAAAAAAAGGUAGACAAACAAACCAGUCUCUACUCAAGAAGAAAAACAUACGUACUUAUUACUUGAUCAUUAUCAUGCCAGAUCACAUACACAAUGAAUAAAUACUUGAAAAAUGUGUGAAAAUCAUUUCAGACAUAAUUAAAAUUUUGAUAACUACUGAAAAAAAUAAAACUUAAAAAAAGGAAAAAAAGUAUUUCUUUACUCAUGAAGAAAAAACAUUAUUAACACUGUGGGUAUUUAUUUAUAUUCACAAAAUUUAACAUUCCUUAUUGGGUUCAAACUUAGCAAUUAACUCAUUUGUUAGUGCUGCUUUUGAGGCAAUUUCACUAUGAAGAUACAUAUAUUCACCUUAGCUGUGUAUGAAAUUGAAGAAUUUUCUGCAUUUUAUUUAAAAUUUUAGUGAAAAUACAUUCUAAAAUUGUACUAGAACCCUAAGUGUGAAAGAAAUUAUGCUAAGCUCCAAUUCUUGGGUCAAAUUAUGCUAAAAAACAUGAAAUUAUGCUACAUUUGGUAGCACACUGGAUGACGCCAACUAGCGGCGGCUGGCGGAAACAGUUUUGUUUACAAACAUCAUAUGGUCGGGGGUCGGAAACUGGUUUUUUGGUUGAAAACAGAUACAAAGUUUAUUGGAAAUUUAGUGGCGAAAUCCGAUUAUGUCGAGUUCUAAUACGGUCGUGAACCGGGGCUCUACUGUAUAUAGAUGUCCUCCCUGAUCCAGCCCAUGAGAAGCGGUUCUUCAGGCAGUACAAUCCCUGUGUUUUCAUUACUGAAAAGUGCUCCGCUUUCAUUGCAACUCCCAACUCCUCACAGAACAGCAAUGAAGCAGCGGUUUAGCAUUUUCAGUCCUCUGUAAUACAACGGAUUAAAGCCGUCUUCACGGGUUGGUGUCAUCGGCAGGACUUUUCUACGUUCAGAAUCUUGAGAGUUAACUUCUCUUCAUUCAGCUGUGAAGACGUAGGUCUGCAUUCACCUAAUCACCUUCAUCUUCAACGGCACAUAGUAUUGUUUCUCCUUAGUUGAGAUUCAACUACUACGAGAACUUCUGUCUUGCCAUCAGGGACCUUUGUCUCUAGAAGGCAAUUGACUUUCGUUUGAUGGGCACAUGCCUUUAGAGAAUCAUCAUCUCGCCUUCCAGCAUCGAUGGCAACAAGAUAGACGAUUUGUAUGGUUUCUCAGCAUAACCCUUCAAAAGGCGAGUCGCCUCACACAACCAAACACAGUCAGUUGGCAGCUGUUGAAGCGUCCGAGACCGUCACGAGCUACUCUGUGGACUUUGUAUCGGUUGAUCCAGAUCAGUCAUUACUUUGUCCUUCUGGCAUGUUCCGGUACCCAUAAGUAUCGACACACCAUGGAGUGUCGGUGUCUUUAUCCACUGCGGAUACAAGGAGACCAUGAGAGAAUUCGCUGCAGUGGGAUAGACCAGUGGAUGGGUACUGGCCAUCACUCCAAAGAAUAUGUCGGACAGGAAGAUGGAUAGGUCAUUGCGACCAUCUCUUUCUUUCCCUCGGGACUGCCCACAGGUCCUUGGAACCUUAUUUCCCUGGACCAGUGGUGGAUGCUUGCAAGAUGUGUUUGCUUACCCAGCUCCUUCAAGAGGACAAGUUGCAUCUCGUCCAUGGUGUGCAGUUGUAGAGGUAAAAAGGAUGCAAGAGUGACUGGCCUCUCCCCCUUCCACGCCUCGUCCUUCCACUCUUCUUCCUUCGGGUUGAGGAUAGGACUUGAACUCUCACUGGCUGGUCAGAGGAUUGAUGUGGUAAGCUUAUACAUAAGCAUCCUUUUUAUGUUUCUUAUCAGAAUCGUAGAAGCAAUCCCGCUCCUUCCUCUAGCAAGGGGAGGAAGGAGACUGACAAUAAUGCAAACCCUUCCCAGAACUUUGCAUUAAUGUCUCCGAGGCUAAAUAUUCUUCACAGCCCUUUUUCGGAUGAGUCAUGAUUCCUCACUCAUUUCGAAAAGGCCCAGAAGUCUGACUCUUGAUCAUGCAGCUCCUAUACUCCGAUCAGGUUGUCAGAGGCAGUAGGGCACUCCUCCUCGCUCUUAUGACCAGUAGCAGCAGCUUAGGUGCGCAGAACUCCAGUCAGUUCUAGAGGCUCACUCAGAUUCCUCCCAGCAAUCAGUGAGUCUUCCGUACGUAAAGGACCGAGGGUUUGUAUUACGUGUCGGAACAAAUUACAAUUUGAAGUAAAUUGUAUUUUUCCUAACUAUACAAACCUGAGGUCCUUUACAUAUAUGCCCACCUCAUGCCACCCCACAAUCUGAACCUGGGCCGAAAGGCAAAGUGGAGUAUUUACAUCUGGUGCCCCACGGUAGUUACUGCCUGACCGCCUUGUUCAAGAUUCAACGUAAAGGACCUUAGGUUUGUAUAGUUAGGGAAAAUACAAUUUACUUCAAAUUGUGAUUUUUUUCAUUUUUUUACUCAACAAUUGAACUAAGGUUUGAUGGCAAUUUUGUUUUUGUCAGAUGCAUCAGCGAUGAGUGAACGAAAGUUUUGAAAAGGUUUCACAAGUGUUUUUUCUGAAAUUUUGACACAUGACAUUUUCUUACAGUUUUGAAAUAUAUGAUAGCUUUCACUGUUAUGGUAUGGCUUUAUUGUAUGCAGUAAUUGUGUUUUUGCAUUGAAAUAAUGGAUAAAUAUGGAGCAAAAAAAUAACAGGAUUUGUGGAUAUAUCUCGUAGAAAAAUACAGCAAAUACACAAAUUUCCCGCGAAUAAUAGAUAGAUGUGUGUUCCAAGAGAAAUCCGCGAAUAUGUGAGUCCGUGAAUGCAAGGAAUGCGAACAUUGGGGGUCCACUGUACAUAGCUGCUUGGGAGCACAGGAUAAACUUGGAAGAACAGCAUCAGUGAGGUGGACAGGUUGCAGAAUGAUUAGCUUUUUCAUACAAAUGGUUAACAUUAAGAGUAGAGGAUUCCAUUUUGCAUUUGGGCUGUAUUACCUGUGAUGAGACAUGAUCAUGAGAUUGGAAGAAUAUCACUAUCAAAAUGUUUCUUUUGCACCUGAUAAAAGUGUUGUAAUAUUGACAAGCAAGACUCAGUAGUAUUUUUAUGUGAAAAAUAUUUUAAAUUACAGUAAUGCAAUGUGCGCAUUUGAAAUGAAAUCUAAAAGCAUGAUUAAUUUUAUUUCAGUCAUAUUCAUCCAUGCAUCGAUGAGGUUGCGAAACUUAAAGAACAAGUUGAUGAACAAGAUAGAAUAUGUGGGGCUGAAGAGAACCCCAAUGGGUGUCAUCCUAGAUGCUCUUGGGCUGGAGCAGGAAUUUCUGAUAUAAAGAAACAUAUCUCUAUACCAGGAAAGUUUGUGCAGGACUGAUCCAUAUAACCAUCAGAAUUUGGCAGCACCUUAUGAGGUUACUGAGAUGUUUCCAGCUCAAGUCCAUGCAAUGAUAUUGUAUACAUAUAAGACAUUAUCUCUGUGUAAGUUUCAUGUAUGAAAAAAUUAUUUGACUAGGGAAGCUCUUUUAUUUAGCAGUUUCUAACUUCUAGAGGCUUCAUUCAUAACAUUUUUCAUCAUUUAGUAAUCAACAUUUCUGAAUACUGUAAUGCCCCCAGAGUGCUAUGAUGAUGUUUGUAUUUUCAUCCAGACUUUUUCAGUUAGCCUCAUCUGUACCUUAAGAAUUUGAAAUGAAUGCCAAAUCUGGCAUACAUAGUAGCUAACAACUGGAGAACAGCACAGUGUAAAAUUCUAAGCUUUGGACAGUUGUCAUAUUUAAGAUUGGAAUAUGCAUGGUGAUGUGAGUGGUGCUAGUCACUGCAUGAUUUUCCCAAGAAUUGAGAGUAAGUAGAACAUUUUCUUUGAUCUGGUCUUCUUUCUUAACCUCAGACACAAGCUUUGGUCUGUGUUAGUAAGUACGACACUCACUUUUUUGCAUGAUUGUUAUAUGUUGCAAAUUUAUUCUUUUUGUUUUAAUUUUUGUGCUUCAAGGGAUGAUGCAUUGAAAUAUGUGGCCAGGUGAUUGAUUUCAUUUACUUUUUGGUAGUUUGCCAAUAAUAGUUUAGUCAUAACAGAAUUUCUGUCAUCCUGUGUACUCAAUUGACCCAUAGUGUGUGAGUAGCAGCUUAGGCUAGUUAGCAGCACAUUGUUACUUGCAGUUUGAGCUGCACUGACUGAAUUGUGAUGUGUGUUUUCCACCAGUGGUUGGAUCCUGAAAGGACUAUGGAAGCACUGCAUAGGUUAAAGUAAUAAAAAAUCUCUCUCAUAUAUAUUGUAGUCAGUAUUUUGCUCAGAAUUGCUUAAUGGUGUGGCAUCUCAUUUCCUCUUUUAUAGAGAUUUUUUGCCUUUUUCUAUAUUAGACUCAUGACUUUGGUUGUACUAGGCCUAUUAGCUAGCUGUUUAUCUUUGAAAUGAACCUUUCUCUCCAUUAUAUAGUUUUUACUUCUGUGCCAGCAGGAGUUAAAGCUAUAUAAUAGAGAAGUAGGUAUUCAAAAAAUAAAUCUUCAGUAUAUUUAUAUUUUUGAAAAAAUGUUAGAGAUGUACAGUAACAUAACAGGUUACUUUUAGUUUGCUGUGUUUUAUGGUGUUAAAUACCAUAUUGAUGCUUUGAUGGUGCCCAUUUUUUAUUUAUAUCAUGAAGUUGAAACCACCACCUUCCUCCUUACAUAUCAGUUGACCAUUACCAUUUUACAAUUGGCUAUACAUUUUCUUAAUCCUUUUAGUGACCAAGUUAAAAUAGGGAUUUUUGAGUGGCUUUAAAAAAGGUGUGCUUUUUGUACACACUUACUUAUUGAGCACAUGAGGCUACCACUUUUACUUUUGGUAUUUUAGAAAGGCUUGGUUUGUUGGCAACAUAAGAAAAUCAACGAAAUACAGUCACCUCUCAAUUAACGCAAGUGUUACGUUCUGGGAUAGCUCAAGUUAAUUAUAAAUGCGUUAUUUAAAUAUAUUUUUCCCAUAUAAAAUAACAGGAAUAAGGGGGUUACGUUCCUGGAAUUGGGGAACCCUGUGCUUUUUUUUUUGCCAAGUUCAACCAAAUUGGAUAACAGCAACAUCCAUAUGGUGUAUUUCAAGCAUCGUACAAUAGUAAACAAUUACUGGAGUUAUAAACGACAUUAUGUAGAAUAGGACUGAUAUAUUUUUAUGUAAUUUCAUUUGUGAUAGAUCAAAGACCAGCAAGGAAACAUGGUGUUAAAUUUAGGCCAUAUUGUAGCUGAAGCUGAGAAAACUGUUUAAGCUGCUAAUGACUGUUAUCGUGCAUCAGCAACAAGGAUAAAACUCCAGUAAAGUUAUGCCAUCAAACACAACUGUAGAUAAAAUCGAGAGAAAAUCAUUUUAAUCAAAACUAUUGGGCAUGAAACAACAAAUUUUACUGUUGUUUUCACACAAAUAAAAGGUAAAUAAUGUGAAGCUCGUAUUAUGAUGAAAUCAAGUGAUAAUAGCGAACAGAAGCAUAAUUUUUUUUUAAUGCAAUAAACAUGCUCUCAGUGUGAUCUGUUAAUGAAAAAAAAUAAUUUAGUUCACAACGAGACUUAUUCAAGCCAUAUUUCGACUUAAAAAUUCAUCAUAUAACAACAAAUGACCUUGUGUCAUAUAAGUAAAGUAUCUAGAUAUUCGUUUAUGCUAACUAGGAGCAAGAAAAUUCUCUCAGAACUGAGAUAAAUACAGCGAAAUAAACUUGUAUUCGCCAUCAGCUGAUUUCCAAACCAAAACAUUGACUGCUAUGUUAUUAUUUUAUAACACAAUAAUAUGAGAAUACUUACAAUAUUAUUGGAUACAGUGAAGUAAUGUAUAACUUUUUAAAAGAUUCAUGGAAAAGUUGCUUAUUAUUUGUUACUUUUGUAAUUAUACAUAGCCAUCAGCAGUAUGACAUCACUCAAUUAUACUGAUGUCGGAACAAAGCUGGUUCUCGUUUUGUGUGUAGUUUUUUUUUCUUUAUUAAUAAAUUUAAAAAUCUUUUGCUUUAUUAAUAAAUAAAUUUUCCCUUUAUUAAUAAAUACUUAUUGUGCUAUGUCUGUUAUGUCGAUGGCCGUCAUCUGCAGUGCUGAUGCACAGGUGAUUUGAAAACAACGCUCACGCACCAAUUUGCGUUAAAUCUAAAUUUUCGUGUGUUUUAAACAUUUUAAAAUAUUUUCUAGCUUACGUUAAAUCGAAAACACGUUAAUUAAACACGUGUUAAUUGAGAGGUGACUGUAAUUAAAUUUUGAAGGUUGAGGAUAUUUUUUUAUGAAGCUUGAUGAGCGUGUGUUCGUGUUAUCUGAAUUUCAUGUGGUCAUAAAAAACAGGUAUAACCUAGUAAGUAGGCACCUAGUAAUGAAACAGAAACGUUAACCAAUUUUCCUGUAGGAAGGUGUCAUCCUCUAUGAUGUAGACUGUUUUAAAAUGUCCUUGGUUUUAGAAUAGUAGUGGUGUUGGUUCUCAGGAUUGGUACAACCUAAAAAUGUGAUAUCCCUUUCAUUUUGGAAUGAAAAACACAACAGAAGAAAAGUUGUCUUCCAGUAUAUGCCAAAAUGUGUAGUAAGGGCAUUGAGGAUAAUGUGGUCAAGAAAUAUAUAUUUUUUCAAAUGUUGUUUGUCCUGGUGGAUUCCUUUGAUUUUUACCUUUACAAUUAGAGUUCUUGUGUUAUUACAGUACUGUACAGCUGUAUGGAUUGGAUAAUUAUGGUAAUUUAAUGACUAAUAAUUUUAGAUAUCCAUAGAAUCUCAGCCAGAGGUUGUAGAAUAUUAUAACUAGUGUAGUAUGAUUUAUUUUCAUGGAUUCUUGAUACCAGUAUAUAGAGUGAGAAAUCUGUUGUUUCUUAAACCCAUGACCCAGGUUAAGAUGAAAAGUGAUGUUGUGGUGUGUGAUUGCCAAUUUCCUAUUUUAGAUAACACAUUUGAAUAUCAUUGUUCCAAAGGAUAAGCUUUAAGGUGAACAGCAAGGUCUUUGCAUGCUUUGCUUCCUACUUUUAUUUGUCACUAAUGCAGUAGUGCCUUUAUACUGUAGUACAGAUAUUACCCCAUAUCCUCAUUAACCAUAGCACCUUGUUCCACUUAGCGAUGUUUCUUCAUUUUGUUUUUGUUUUUUAAAACUUAAAGAUUUUAUAUUAAGGCUAUGCAUCCAAGGCCAUUUCAGUAAAGCCUAAGUUUUUUCCGUUUAUUUACUCAUGAAAUGAAAAACCACCCAAUCAUUUGAUCUGUCUGUUGUCCUCAUUUUACGUUACAUCAUGUUUUUCCUUUAGGCCAAAGGGGAAUUUGGAUGGAUCUUCGUUGAAUUUCGACUCAAGUUCGAAAUUGCUGGAUUCUGUGAUGAAGAUGGCUGGCAAGAACUAAAGUACAGGUUGACAUUAUUGCAACUGUUGAUGGUAGCACUCGUUUUCCCUCUACAUUAAGUAAUCGGUUAUAAACACUUUUUCUUAAUGCAUCAUUCCUUAUAGUUUUAUCAUUUAAAUAGAUCUGCUGUUGUCAUUUAUUACAUUUCAUUGGGGUGCUGGUUAUAUACAUUCAUUGUUUAUAUGGCAGGAACAACACAUUUAAUCAAAUAUCACCUGAUUGGUUUUGAUGGUUUCAUUAGUUAUAUAGGCUCUUGUAGAUGUCAAAAUUUGCAGAGUGCAGUCCGUGAUACAUUUUCAUCUUGUAUUGCAGUAUCUUUUUCAGUUUAGUAGCUGUGGGCUAACUCAUUUAUCCUUGAUGGAGGAUAGUUGUUGUGAAGGUAAAUUUGAAUUUGUUGAAUUUCAGUGAAUAAACUUAUAGAUUUGUAUAAGUAAUUAUUUGCCUGUUAUUUUUGUAUAAUCAUUGUUGUAGUAAGAGUAAGUUUUUUCAAGCAUGUAUUUUUAGUCACAGACACAGUCUUGUACUUAUGAUGGUACAUACUAGUUUCAUUAUGCAAUGAGAAGGAAAUCAAUUCUCAAGAUAAAUUUUACGGUUAAGAUAUAUCCUGUUUGGAAAAAGCACGAAGCAAUGAGGGCCUCAAGAUAUUACUCCAGAGCUUUAAUUAUUUCAACUAUACAUCUCGGAAUAUUAACACUUACAGUUAAGUCACUUUAGAUAUUACAGUACUAUAUACUACACUUGUAUGGAAUCAGAAAAACUAAACAACUUUUGCAUUUAUCUCCACUAAGCAUUUAAAGUUAGACAGAUGUCUUGAUAGUUUAGCUAAGCUGUUACACAAAAUGAUGUCAUCACAUGCAUGAUUCACAAAGUAUAAAUUCAGGAAUAGUGGUUUUAUAGUUGUAAAAAUCACAUUCUUAAGUGUAAAUGUUAUAAUGUUUUGAUCAAAUGUGUCUUCUUAAAAUGCUAUAAAUGGGCAUCAUUUAGGUCAGUAUUUUUUUUAUAUGCUGAUUGUUAAUGAUACAGUAUCUUGAUAUUGUGCCAUACAAGUUUAUGAAAUGAAUUGAUUUUUCUGUACUCAUAUUGGAAAUAAAAAGUGACAAGAA